GAUUUACCAAUGUCAUUUAAAAAAAUCAUGUUUCUACAGAGAAGAUUAGCAUGGCCCCUGAGCAAGGAUGACACGCAAAUUCGUGAAGCAUUCCAUAUUUAA
rnacentral:snRNA from 1 species